GACGAACGCUGGCGGCGUGCCUAAUACAUGCAAGUAGAACGCUGAAGGAGGAGCUUGCUUCUCUGGAUGAGUUGCGAACGGGUGAGUAACGCGUAGGUAACCUGCCUGGUAGCGGGGGAUAACUAUUGGAAACGAUAGCUAAUACCGCAUAAUAGUAGAUGUUGCAUGACAUUUGCUGAAAAGGUGCAGUUGCAUCACUACCAGAUGGACCUGCGCUGUAUUAGCUAGUUGGUGGGGUAAAGGCUCACCAAGGCGAGGAUACAGAGCCGCCCGGCGAGGGGGGUCAGCCGCCCUGGGAGGGUGACACGGCCCAGAGUCACUCGGGAGGCACCAGUAGGGCAUCGGCGGCAAUGGGCGGAAGACUGACCGAGCAGCGCCGCAUGAGUGAGCAAGGUUUUCGGAUCGUAAAUCACUGUUGUAAGGGAAGAACGAGUGUGAGAGUGGAAAGUACACUCUGUGACGGUAUCUGAUAAGAAAGCGACGGCUAACUACGUG
rnacentral:rRNA from 1 species